GGCUCAGAACGAACGGCUGGCGGCGUGCUUAACACAUGCAAGUCGAACGCGAAAGGGACUUCGGUCCUGAGUAAAGUGGCGCACGGGUGAGUAACGCGUAGAUAACCUGUCUUCAUGUCUGGAAUAAUACGCCGAAAGGGGUACUAAUACCGGAUAUUCUUGCUUUUCAUAAGUUAUGCAAGCAAAGGUGGCCUCUGCAUAUGCUACUGCAUGAAGAGGGGUCUGCGUACCAUUAGCUAGUAGGUGGGGUAAUGGCCUACCUAGGCGACGAUGGUUAGCGGGUCUGAGAGGAUGAUCCGCCACACUGGCACUGGAACACGGGCCAGACUCCUACGGGAGGCAGCAGUGAGGAAUAUUGCGCAAUGGGGGAAACCCUGACGCAGCGACGCCGCGUGAGGUAGAGGAAGGCCUUCGGGUCGUAAAGCUCUGUCAAGAGGAAAGAAGUGUACAAUGGCUAAUACCUGUUGUAUUUGACGGUACCUCUAAAGGAAGCACCGGCUAACUCCGUGCCAGCCGCCGC
rnacentral:rRNA from 1 species